rnacentral:ncRNA from 1 species
AAACUUUAAUAAAGAGUUUACUUAUUACUUUAUAUCAUGCUCAUUAUACUAAUUAUAAUUGUUGAUUAUCCAACGUGGAUAACUGUGGAAAUUCUAAAGCUAAUACAUGCGCCAAGGCUCCGAAUUUUAGACGUGCGCAUCUAUUAGAUUAAAACACCAAUCAGGUUAUUAAUUAAUCCGUUAAUUGAUGACUGUGAAUAGUUAUGGCUGAUCGCAUGGUCUUAUACUGGCGGCGUAUCUAUCAAGUAUUUUCAGCGAUAGUUUAUGUGCCUACCGUGGUUGUAACGGGUUGCGGAGAAUAAGGGUUCGAUUCCGAAGAGAGAGCCUGAGAAACGGCUACCACAUCCAAGUAAGGCA